GAUGAACGCUAGCGACAGGCUUAACACAUGCAAGUCGAGGGGCAGCGGUCUGGUAGCUUGCUAUCAGAAGUCGGCGACCGGCGCACUGGUGAGUAACACGUAUGCAACCUACCCUUCACAGGGGGAUAAUCCAUAGAAAUGUGGUCUAAUACCGCAUGGUCCUGCAUGAGUGCAUGCUCUGUGCAGGUAAAGUUUUUAACGGUGAAGGAUGGGCAUGCGUCCGAUUAGGUAGUUGGUGAGGUAACGGCUCACCAAGCCGACGAUCGGUAGGGGUUCUGAGAGGAAGGUCCCCCACAUUGGUACUGAGACACGGACCAAACUCCUACGGGAGGCAGCAGUGAGGAAUAUUGGUCAAUGGGCGAGAGCCUGAACCAGCCAAGUCGCGUGAGGGAAGAAUGUCCUAUGGAUUGUAAACCUCUUUUGUUGGGGAGCAACGGUCUCCACGUGUGGAGAUGUGAGCGUACCCAAAGAAAAAGCAUCGGCUAACUCCGUGCC
rnacentral:rRNA from 1 species